rnacentral:lncRNA from 1 species
UAGUAUGUGCUACACACAUAGCCUUGUUCGCUCAGUGAGAUCAAAUCCUUUACGAUACAUCACUUCCAUAAUUUUUCUAGCCUCUGCAAUCUGACCAAAUUUCAGAAGACCACGCACUACUAUAUCGUAACUCCAUCGAUUUGGCUCAUGCCCCUUUUUGCGUAACUGGUUAAGGUAUUCAUAGGCAAGAUUUAUCUGGCUUAAGCUUAUCCUUCUCAACAACAUAUUGUAUGUAUACAAGUCAAGAGGAAAGCAUUGUCGGAUCAGUUCUUCCAUAGCAUUAAUGUCUUGGUCCCCUCCAAUAGAAUCAGAACAGGCAUCAAUUAGCUUGCCAAUUGCCAUACUAUGAGUUGUCAAAUUUUGCAGAUUUCGUGAAUUAUACCAAGCAUUGAAGAGUUCACGAGAGCUACAAGAAUGUAAAAGUAGUACAUUCCCUAUAAAUGAUGACAUUGGGCGACCAAUUUUUGGCAAAUCAUCAAUAACUUCUAAAGCCGCAUAAUACUCUUUACGAGCACAAAGCAACUUUACAAGUUCUUCAUAGCAUUCAAUACUUGGUCUCAAUUGGUUUCCCCUCAUCUCCCAGAAGAUCUCCAGGGCAUAGUCUGGCCUACAGGCUCUGCAAAGACCAACAAUCAUCGUGUGCCAUAACUUUUUCCCAAUCUUCCUUCUCUUCAACAAAUCUCGGAAGAAAUUUAAAGCAUCAGAGAUCUUGUCACUUUUUAGAUAACUUUGCAACAUUAAUAAGUCAGACCUCAUAUUUGGUGUAAUACCACUUCUCUCCAUCAUUUUAUAAACAUGUCUAGCCAAAUGAUAUUUUCCAGCAUGCCCAGCUCCAUCAAUGAAGGAAUUGUAAAAAUUGCAGGUAGGUUCAUAGCGAGAGAGUUGCAUUU